UCUUUUUGUGGACCCAGUUUGGGUCUCUGUUGCCAACAUGUUGGACAUUCAGGAGGGAAAAUAGCUAGACAAGCCUUGGUGAGCUGGGCUCCAUGCUGUUAUACUUCAGUAUUUCUCUUUUUCAGACUUCUGACCAACCAACUGAGCUGUUUGCCUCUUUCAGUGAAUUUGUAAAUAUUCUGACCUUGGCGCAUUCAUUUUUCAAUAAAAGUAGAUAAUCACUAAAUGCACUGUCCUAAUUCUGUACUUUAGGAAGAUUUACGCCACUGCUGUCUGGCUAGCCUGAUGAGGACUGACGUGUAGUUACAGUUUAUGAAAAUACUCUACAUGUCUACAUGAUGGUUCACCUAUUGGGAAUUGCUACAAUCUCUAAAUUGGUUCUUUUCCCAUUACAGAUAUUUUUAGUAUCAUAGGGCACUCCAGAUUGUGUGGUCCAAUUGAUAAAGCCACUGGUAGCAUCACCUACAAGUCUUUUCCUGCUCCGAGCCCCAUUAAAGGCUGGCAGCCUUCAUUUCAACUGGUAAAUGGAUCAGAGGUGCUUCCAGGUGUA
rnacentral:lncRNA from 1 species